rnacentral:rRNA from 1 species
CGGCGGACGGGUGAGUAACGCGUGGGCAACCUGCCUUACACAGGGGGAUAACAGUUAGAAAUGACUGCUAAUACCGCAUAAGACCACGAAGCCGCAUGGCUAAGUGGUAAAAACUCCGGUGGUGUAAGAUGGGCCCGCGUCUGAUUAGGUAGUUGGCGGGGUAACGGCCCACCAAGCCGACGAUCAGUAGCCGACCUGAGAGGGUGACCGGCCACAUUGGGACUGAGACACGGCCCAGACUCCUACGGGAGGCAGCAG